rnacentral:rRNA from 1 species
GACGAACGCUGGCGGCGUGCUUAACACAUGCAAGUCGAGCGAGGCCCCUCCUUCGGGAGGGUGUCCUAGCGGCGAACGGGUGAGUAACACGUGGGCAACCUGCCCUCAGCUCUGGGAUAACUCCGGGAAACCGGGUCUAUUACCGGAUACGACCUCCACGGGCAUCUGCGGAGGUGGAAAGUUUUUCGGCUGAGGAUGGGCCCGCGGCCUAUCAGCUAGUUGGUGGGGUAGUGGCCCACCAAGGCGACGACGGGUAGCCGGCCUGAGAGGGCGACCGGCCACACGGGGACUGAGACACGGCCCAGACUCCUACGGGAGGCAGCAGUGGGGAAUAUUGCGCAAUGGGCGAAAGCCUGACGCAGCGACGCCGCGUGAGGGACGAAGGCCUUCGGGUUGUAAACCUCUUUCAGCAGGGACGAAGCGAAAGUGACGGUACCUGCAGAAGAAGCACCGGCCAACUACGUG